rnacentral:rRNA from 1 species
GACAGAGGGGGCAAGCGUUGCUCGGAAUUAUUGGGCGUAAAGAGCUCGUAGGCGGUUUGUCGCGUCGAAUGUGAAAUCCCGGGGCUCAACCCCGGGCCUGCAUUCGAUACGGGCAGACUAGAGUUCGGUAGGGGAGUCUGGAAUUCCUGGUGUAGCGGUGAAAUGCGCAGAUAUCAGGAGGAACACCGGUGGCGAAGGCGGGACUCUGGGCCGAUACUGACGCUGAGGAGCGAAAGCGUGGGGAGCAAACAGG